AAUAUUGCACAAUGGGGGAAACCCUGAUGCAGCGACGCCGCGUGAGUGAAGAAGGAUUUCGGUUUGUAAAGCUCUAUCAGCAGGGAAGAAAAUGACGGUACCUGACUAAUAAGCUCCGGCUACCUACGUGCAAGCAGCCGCGGUAAUACGUAGGGGGCAAGCGUGAUCCGGAUUUACUGGGUGUAAAGGGAGCGUAGGUGGCGAGUCAAGUCAGAUGUGAAAGCCCGGGGCUCACCCCCGGGAUUGCAUUUGAACCUGGUUUGCUAGAGUGCAGGAGAGGUAAGUGGAAUUCCUAGUGUAGCGGUGAAAUGCGUAGAUAUUAGGAGGAACACCAGUGGCGAAGGCGGCUUACUGGACUGUAACUGACACUGAGGCUCGAAAGCGUGGGGAGCAAACA
rnacentral:rRNA from 1 species